UUUAUCGCGCUGUGAUUGGCUGAUAAGUUGGCGCGAGGUCAUGUGCAGGUCAUGAUUAACAUGGAAGGGAGAGAGGAGACCCGUGCACUGCAGCAAGCCAUUGGGGUAUUAAGAACUAUUUUAUCAUCAUCUGAAACGGUCACAUCGUUGUCCUCGUCCCUUGAGCAGCGGAGGACAAGCUCAUCAGGACCUAACGUUACUCACAGCACGGCGGAAAAUGAGACGAGAGAACUUUUCAGACCUCGAAACUCCCAAGUCGCUUCCGCAGCCCAAGCAGCUAACGUUAGCGCUACACAAGGACGACCUGGAGGACUGUCGCAGUCUUUACAAUAUGAGACACAGCUACACUUUGGCAACUGGGGCUCCCGGAAAAGGAAAAGGGCCAAAUCACAUUACCACGAUACUUUCAACAAAGAUAUCAUCCUUCUUCCAAAAUCAUCGAGCAGUGCUGUCAUCAGGCAUUGCACAAAGCAACAGUUACAUGAACAGGGACAGAGCACUGUCACUGAACAAAUAAGGGAUGCCUUUGGAGAAAAACACUCUGAUUUCUUCUGGUCAGGUACUAGUAUGUCCACUGGAGAGCUGCCCUUCCACCAGUCAGCCUUCUACCUCAUCAUUAAGAGGAAUAACUACAGUUGAUCCAACUCUGGUCCUGACUUGCGAAGAUAUCUCAACUUCACCCUACCAGAGCAGCAUUCCAGCAAGUCAUUGUUCUGCCUAUACCUCAACACGCCAUCAAACAGCAAACUGUGAGAACUACCUUUCAGUAAUGGCUGACAAUGAGGAAUUUAACCUGGCGAUAAUAUCAAGCCUGGAGAGUGAAAAGCUAGUACAUGAUGCAAAUGCAGAGCCAACCCAACAAUUAAGUUAUUUCUGCUUACAAAUACUGUACCUGUAUAAAAUAAAUGUAAACUGUUAUUAUUUUGUGUUGUUAAUGUUAAUAUUUUCAAAAUAUUAUGCUUUUCUGUUUGACUUGAAUGUUGAAAUGGCCCUACUGUGUGGGGUCAUGUGUAAUGCAAAGAAAAAUAAAGA